AAAUGAAGGAGUUGCUUGAGGAUGUGCAGAAUAUGCUGGAAGAGAACUGAACACAGAAGGAGGAGAGAACAAAGCCACAUGGAACCAUAUCACGCUGCUUGAUCACCAGUUUAAGAAACUGCUCGCCCUGUACACAGAUGCAGCAGGACAGGAGGAGGGGGCAGUAUUGUUACCAGUAUCCAGUCAGAGGACCACAGAAGAGCAGCUGAGUGAGCAGCAAGAAAGACAGAGCAGUUACUAACUGAGCUACAAUGAGGCAGCGGGACGCCUUGGUGUGUAAGCUGACAGAGGAGCUGGAGCAGGAACAUGGGCGCUAUGAAGAAAAGUAGCGUCAACUGAGCAAACUCGAGCUCCACAUGGUCGACGUGGAGAAGGAGGUGGACGGCCUAAGAAUCAAACACUCUAAUGGCAAGGGGCUGCCUGUUUUUCUUCAUCCAUCUCAAAUAUUCAUCGAAAUCGCUGCCAGUGAUGUGUCACACUGCUCUGAUCCCCCACAGAAGUCCACCCGGGUCACCAAAGGUCAAGCCAAUCAAAAAGGAAGAAAGAGGCUUUGCCUUCAUCACUUAUUCAGUCCGUACUCUGCAGCACAUGUGUGAGGGUAUCUGUGCGCUUUGCCUGGCUGUGGAGGAUUUGAGGUUUGUUUGUUUAUGUGCGCUGGAGCAGAAGCAUGGGGAGAUCCCUCAGACUCCCCCGGCGCGCUGCGUGAGGGCUGCUCAAAUCAAAACUCCAGGCUUCUGCUAAACGCUGGGCCGGGCCGCUCUCCUCCAGCAGAUGAGAAGCAGAAUGAUUACACACGCUGCUGAGAGCGGGCACAUGGCUAGCAAUGAGGCUUUGUUUGUUUGCUUUUGGCCGAUCGACAUUACGGUUUCAUGAUUUCUGUCCGGUGCCGGUUUUAAUGAUGGGCUUUGCCUGUUACUGGACAUGUUUGUGUUGUAUUGACGAGAUUUUUCAGCAUUGCCAGACAGAAGCAAGUAAGUUCACAGAAAGCAGAAAUCCUAGUUGAGGAGUAAUAAGUUCUCUCACAGUACCUCAACUGAGUACUAAGGUGCAAGACAAAUAGCACAAGAUACAUUCUUGUAGUUUUUCCAGACAUUUUGUAUACAUUCAAGGUGCAGAAUUAACAUUAAGAAUUAUACUUUAUAUUUUAUAAGGCAAGCUGGCUAUUUUUGUGCAGAACAGGUAAUCACUGAGCUUCAGUACGGUUGCUAACCAUAGCUCAGUAAUUUACUGCCACCACCUAGAGUAGUAGAGAUAGACAUUUUGGACAUUGAAAACGUUCACAGGUCACUCCUCGUCACUUGCUACAGUGUUUUUCAUUAACAUCACUG
rnacentral:lncRNA from 1 species